AGUUUUAUGCCUCACUUGCUGUCAUUACGGUUGGCGUGCAGUUGACUAGCGCGACGGGUUCAUCGGUUGGAGGUGUGAAUGCAGAAAGUGUCUGAUGCUCGGAUCUUGUUAAGAGAACAACUAUUAUAAAGUACUAUUUUUACACAAUUUAGAUGGAAUGAAAA